CACGGGGGGAGCAAACGUUAUUUGGAAUUACUGGGCUUAAAGGGUGCGUAGGCGGCGCGGAAAGUUGGGUGUGAAAUCCCUCGGCUCAACCGAGGAACUGCGCCCAAAACUACCGUGCUCGAGGGAGAUAGAGGAAUGCGGAACUUAGGGUGGAGCGGUGAAAUGCGUUGAUAUCCUAGGGAACACCGGUGGCGAAAGCGGCAUUCUGGAUCUCUUCUGACGCUGAGGCACGAAAGCUAGGGUAGCAAACGGG
rnacentral:rRNA from 1 species